GAGAUCAGUCUUGUCCCAGCGUCCGCCGGAGAGGACGAACCGCUUCUGCCGGUUGCGCCCGCUCUGUCCGUCCGUCAGCACCGGGAGGUCGGGCACGCCGCACCGGGGGGGGUUCCAGCGCGCCACCUGCUCCUCUGUACCCACAGGGAAGCCCUUGGCAGGCACACCAGUCCCCACAGCGUUCACCAAGGAGGAUAGCCAAGGAGCCUGCUCCUUCCAGGUGUGAUGCUUUCGAGACACGUCCUAAAAGGCAAAAGCAAAGCCAUGACUUCAGCGUCUGGGAAGACACUUCUUGAUGUGAAGUCAGUGGACAUCAGCAGUCCUGACGCGGGCCAGAAUGAACAGGACAGCUGCUCCCAGGCACAUGGGGAGAGAGGAGAUGGACCCCUGGGAGAGCCCUCACUGUGGAACUGGGAGCACUGGAAAACCCUCAGGAGUUGCCCAGGAGAUGGCCUCAUGAAUUGAUGUUUCCAGCAUCACUGCUCAGUGGGUGACAAAUGGGGAUGCAUCCCCACCAGGCAAGUCUGUUCUCACCCUCUCGCUUUUGGGAUUCCCCUUUUCUUUGGCCCUGGCACCUUGUUUUUCUCCUGGGCAGCCGAAGUGGGUGUUUGUACAGGUGGUGGUAGCUGCAGACAAGGCUGGGGGUCAUGUGCAGUGAACUGCCCUCAUAAACACCACCAAUCAGGAGUAUUUCCUGAAUUACCUGGUCUUCUGCUCUGCUGCCAUGCAUGGGCAUGGGCGGAGGGCAAGAAGAGGAUGUGGAGUGACAGGAAACUUGGCCUUUGGGCCUGGACUCACAAGU